AGGGUUUGAUCCUGGCUCAGGAUGAACGCUGGCGGCGUGCUUAACACAUGCAAGUCGAACGAACCUUCGGGUUAGUGGCGGACGGGUGAGUAACGCGUGAGAAUCUGCCCUCAGGAGGGGGAUAACGGUUGGAAACGACCGCUAAUACCCCAUAUGCCUACUGGUGAAAUGAAUUUCGCCUGAGGAUGAGCUCGCGUCUGAUUAGCUAGUUGGUGAGGUAAUGGCUCACCAAGGCUUCGAUCAGUAGCUGGUCUGAGAGGAUGAUCAGCCACACUGGGACUGAGACACGGCCCAGACUCCUACGGGAGGCAGCAGUGGGGAAUUUUCCGCAAUGGGCGAAAGCCUGACGGAGCAACGCCGCGUGAGGGACGAAGGCCUCUGGGCUGUAAACCUCUUUUCUCAAGGAAGAAGAUAUGACGGUACUUGAGGAAUAAGCCACGGCUAAUUCCGUGCCAGCAGCCGCGGUAAUACGGGAGUGGCAAGCGUUAUCCGGAAUUAUUGGGCGUAAAGCGUCCGCAGGCGGCUUUUCAAGUCUGCUGUUAAAGCGUGGAGCUUAACUCCAUCAUGGCAGUGGAAACUGAAAGGCUUGAGUAUGGUAGGGGCAGAGGGAAUUCCCGGUGUAGCGGUGAAAUGCGUAGAUAUCGGGAAGAACACCAGUGGCGAAGGCGCUCUGCUGGGCCAUUACUGACGCUCAUGGACGAAAGCCAGGGGAGCGAAAGGGAUUAGAUACCCCUGUAGUCCUGGCCGUAAACGAUGAACACUAGGUGUCGGGGGAAUCGACCCCUUCGGUGUCGUAGCUAACGCGUUAAGUGUUCCGCCUGGGGAGUACGCACGCAAGUGUGAAAC
rnacentral:rRNA from 1 species